ensembl:lncRNA
GUGAAGGGACUUUGCUGGUAUAAUUAAAGUCCCUGAUGAGUUAACUUCAUGCUGGUCAAAGGGGAGAUUACCCUGGGCAGGCCUGACUUUAGCAGUUGCAAGGCCUUUAAGGAAAGAGGGGUUAGUCUUUCUCCUGGGAGCUUAGAGAUUGACAACAGCUGCUGUGUCUGCAAUCUCUCCUUUCCCUUGGGUCCUUCUUUCUGGCAACCACCAGGGGUGGGUGCCCAGCUUCAGCUCUAGGGGUUCCAGCCUGCCCACUCCCUUCCUGACCACUUCCCUGGGGACUUCACACUUACUUAGCCAGCUCCCACAACAGGGUGGUUCUUGACUGCCCCUCCCUUGAUUAGGGGGCUUCGCUGGGAGCUCAGCAGUGGCCACAGGACUGGAAAAGAUGGUGACUGUGAACUGUGGUGUUGGAGAAGACUCUUGAGAGUCCCUUGGACUGCAAGGAGAUCCAACCAGUCCAUUCUGAAGGAGAUCAGCCCUGGGAUUUCUUUGGAAGGAAUGAUGCUAAAGCUGAAACUCCAGUACUUUGGCCACCUCAUGCGAAGAGUUGACUCAUUGGAAAAGACUCUGAUGCUGGAAGGGAUUGGGGGCAGGAGGAGAAGGGGACAACAGAGGAUGAGAUGGCUGGAUGGCAUCACUGACUCGAUGGACGAGGCUGCAGUGUGAUGCAGUGGGGAUCCAUGAUCUGAUCCACUCAGGGCUCUCCCUGUGGCUAUGAGGAAGCCACUUCUCUGAACCACAGUGUCCUGAGCUCUCAAGAAGGAGGAAAAGGCUUGAAUGCCAGUUGCUCUGCAUCACGGCUGUCGAACAGCUGUCAUCAGCGGACAUUCCGAAGGCAUACAUCUAUUUCUCCCGCCCUUACUUUGAGUUCCACUUUGCACUAUUCUGCUGUUAAUUAUUCCCCUCUAUUCUCUUGUCUAAUUUUGUGUGUCAUUAAAAUAGUUCCAGCUACAUUUUCCUCUUGCUGUUUCUUCGGCUGUAACACCUGUAAUGUGGGGAGACCUGAGUUGAGCCCGUUCGGUCCAAGGAGAACUCAGGUCUCUCACCUCCUGCUCCACUUCACCUGCUCUGUCUAGGGCAGGUGGCGUGUCCCCUCAUACCAGCAGCCCUGCGGUGACACUCUCCCCAUCUGUCUGCUUAUCACCUGACAGCCUGGCCGCCUCAUCGCUCUCCUGUCUGUACAGUUCUAUCGAUCAGACACUCGGUAACCUUGACAGUGUCACUUGAUGUCUUUGCCAUCGAGAGAGCAUCCUCUGGCUCCUGCAAGCUGGCUC